GUGAUACCAUAACUCAAAGGUGAUGCAUUUAAUGUGACAUCAUAACUCAAAGAUGAUGUAUUUAAUGUGACACCCUAUCAUCACUAGAAAUAUAUGGUGUCACUUCUGAAUGGGUCACCAUUUAUCUACUUUGGUGUCAUUUCCAAAUACAUCACCAAUUGGUACCCUCUAUGGUGUCAGUGGAGAAGGUGACGCUAUGUUGUAGUGACACCUUAUGUUUAUGGUGACUCGUUAUAAAUGUCACCAUAUACCUUUUUCCUUGUAGUGG
rnacentral:lncRNA from 1 species